GAUGAACGCUGGCGGCGUGCCUAAUACAUGCAAGUCGAGCGAGCAGAUGAGGAGCUUGCUCCUCUGACGUUAGCGGCGGACGGGUGAGUAACACGUGGAUAACCUACCUAUAAGACUGGGAUAACUUCGGGAAACCGGAGCUAAUACCGGAUAAUAUAUUGAACCGCAUGGUUCAAUAGUGAAAGACGGUUUUGCUGUCACUUAUAGAUGGAUCCGCGCCGCAUUAGCUAGUUGGUAAGGUAACGGCUUACCAAGGCAACGAUGCGUAGCCGACCUGAGAGGGUGAUCGGCCACACUGGAACUGAGACACGGUCCAGACUCCUACGGGAGGCAGCAGUAGGGAAUCUUCCGCAAUGGGCGAAAGCCUGACGGAGCAACGCCGCGUGAGUGAUGAAGGUCUUCGGAUCGUAAAACUCUGUUAUUAGGGAAGAACAAAUGUGUAAGUAACUAUGCACGUCUUGACGGUACCUAAUCAGAAAGCCACGGCUAACCACGUG
rnacentral:rRNA from 1 species